UGCAGUCGAACGAACUUAACCAUUAGUUUACUAGUGGAGCGGUUAGUGGCGGACUGGUGAGUAACACGUAAGCAACCUGCCUAUCAGAGGGGAACAACAGUUAGAAAUGACUGCUAAUACCGCAUAUGCCUUGAGUAUCACAUGGUACAAAAGGGAAAGGAGCAAUCCGCUGAUAGAUGGGCUUGCGUCUGAUUAGAUAGUUGGUGAGGUAACGGCCCACCAAGUCGACGAUCAGUAGCCGGACUGAGAGGUUGAACGGCCACAUUGGGACUGAGAUACGGCCCAGACUCCUACGGGAGGCAGCAGUCGGGAAUAUUGCGCAAUGGAGGAAACUCUGACGCAGUGACGCCGCGUGCAGGAAGAAGGUUUUCGGAUUGUAAACUGCUUUAGACAGGGAAGAAACAAGACAGUACCUGUAGAAUAAGCUCCGGCUAACUACGUGCCAGCAGCCGCGGUAAUACGUAGGGAGCAAGCGUUAUCCGGAUUUAUUGGGUGUAAAGGGUGCGUAGACGGGUUAGCAAGUUAGUUGUGAAAGCCCUCGGCUUAACUGAGGAACUGCAACUAAAACUGUUAAUCUUGAGUGUUGGAGAGGAAAGUGGAAUUCCUAGUGUAGCGGUGAAAUGCGUAGAUAUUAGGAGGAACACCGGUGGCGAAGGCGACUUUCUGGACAAUAACUGACGUUGAGGCACGAAAGUGUGGGGAGCAAACAGGAUUAGAUACCCUGGUAGUCCACACCGUAAACGAUGGAUACUAGGUGUAGGGAAUUAUUUAAUUUUCUGUGCCGUCGCAACGCAAUAAGUAUCCCACCUGGGGAGUA
rnacentral:rRNA from 1 species